rnacentral:rRNA from 1 species
CAGUAGCCGCGGUAAUACGAAGGGUGCAAGCGUUACUCGGAAUUACUGGGCGUAAAGCGUGCGUGGGUGGUGGUUUAAGUCCGUUGUGAAAGCCCUGGGCUCAACCUGGGAAUUGCAGUGGAUACUGGGUCACUAGAGUGUGGUAGAGGAUAGUGGAAUUUCCGGUGUAGCAGUGAAAUGCGUAGAGAUCGGAAGGAACAUCUGUGGCGAAGGCGACUAUCUGGGCCAACACUGACACUGAGGCACGAAAGCGUGGGGAGCAAACAGGAUUAGAUACCCCGGUAGUCCCUGUCUCUUAUAA